rnacentral:lncRNA from 1 species
GCGGGACUGCGCGGCGGCGACUACAGACGUGUCGGGGGUCCGGGGCCUGUCGCGGUUGCCAAGCGCUCGGCGCCUGGCGCUGGCGCUGGCCAAGGCGUGGCCAACAGUGUUGCAAACAGGAACCCGAGGUGUUCACUUCAUCAGAUUCCAUUUCUGCUCAGUAUCCAGUAGUGGAUCAUGAAUUUGAUGCAGUGGUGGUAGGCGCUGGAGGGGCCGGCUUUGCGAGCUGCAUUUGGCCUUUCCGAGGCAGAGUUUGAUACAGCAUGUGUUACCAAGCUGUUUCCUACCGGCUCCGACUGGCUGGGGGACCAGGAUGCCAUCCACUACGUGACGGAGCAGGCCCCCACUGCCAUGGUCGCGGUGAUGGGCGGGAGGCUCUGGGUGCUCUGGUGGUCUGUUUCUAGUACAAGAGUCCUGGAAAAAAUAGGUAGAAAAUUAUGGCAUGCCGUUUAGCAGAACUGAAGAUGGGAAGAUUUAUCAGCGUGCAUUUGGCGGACACAGCCUCAAGUUUGGAAAGGGCGGGCAGGCCCAUGGGUGCUGCUGUGUGGCUGAUCGGACCGGCCACUCAAUAUUGCACACCUUAUACGGGAGGUCUCUGCGAUAUGAUACCAGCUGUUUUGUGGAGUAUUUUGCCUUGGAUCUCCUGAUGGAGACUUCGCACUGUGCAUACAGGACGGGUCCAUCCAUCGCAUAAGAGCAAAGAAUACUAUUGUUGCCACAGGGCUACUGGCGCAACUACUUGAGCUGCACGUCUGCCCACACCAGCACCAGCGACGGCACGGCCAUGAUCACCAGGGCAGGCCUUCCUUGCCAGGACCUCGAGUUUGUUCAGUUCCACCCCACAGGCACAUAUGGUGCUGGUUGUCUCAUUACGGAAGGAUGUCGUGGAGAGGGAGG